UACGAAGGGGGCUAGCGUUGCUCGGAAUCACUGGGCGUAAAGGGUGCGUAGGCGGGUCUUUAAGUCAGGGGUGAAAUCCUGGAGCUCAACUCCAGAACUGCCUUUGAUACUGAAGAUCUUGAGUUCGGGAGAGGUGAGUGGAACUGCGAGUGUGGAGGUGAAAUUCGUAGAUAUUCGCAAGAACACCAGUGGCGAAGGCGGCUCACUGGCCCGAUACUGACGCUGAGACGCGAAAGCGCGGGGAGCGAACGGG
rnacentral:rRNA from 1 species